AUUGAACGCUGGCGGCAGGCCUAACACAUGCAAGUCGAGCGCGCGGCGGACGCGUGAGUAUUGUAUGGGGAUCUGCCCGUUAGAGGGGGAUAACUAUUCGAAACGCUAUCUCAUACCGCAUACUAUCUGAUGAACCCAUAUGGGAUUAGCUAGUAGGUGGGGUAAUGGCUCACCAAGGCGACGAUCUCUAGCUGGUCUGAGAGGAUGAUCAGCCACACUGGAACUGAGACACGGUCCAGACUCCUACGGGAGGCAGCAGUGGGGAAUAUUGCACAAUGGGCGCAAGCCUGAUGCAGCCAUGCCGCGUGUAUGAAGAAGGCCCUAGGGUUGUAAAGUACUUUCAGCCGGGAGGCGUUACCGGCAGAAGAAGCACCGGCUAACUCCGUGCCAGCAGCCGCGGUAAUUC
rnacentral:rRNA from 1 species